CGCGGAAAAUAUAACGGGGCUAAAGUAAGUACCGAAGCGGUAGGCUUGUGCUUAGUUAAAUUCUUUGAUAUUUUAUCAUUUAGAUUUAAAACUAACGAUAGUGGUUCUUGCCUUAGCAAGAAAGUUUUAAAAUAUUUUAGGAUAAAGAAUUUUACUAAGCGCAAGCGGUAGGAGAGCGUUCUAUUUGCGUCGAAGGUAUACCGGCAAGG
rnacentral:rRNA from 1 species